rnacentral:RNase_P_RNA from 1 species
UAGGUGAAGUAAGUAGCUGCUGUUUAAUAAAUAAAAAGAUUUAUAACAGAGGAAAGUCCGGGCUCCAAGGAAAGAUAGUGACGGGUAACACCCGCCGAGGGUAACUUUAGUUAUAGGGCUACAGAAAAUUACCGCCUAAAAGUUUUUAGGUAAGGGUGAAAAGGUGUGGUAAAAGCAUACCGUGGCAAUGGUAACAUUGGCAGUCGAGUAACCAACACUAGGAGCAAGAUUGAAUAAGAAUAGAUUUUAUGUUUUCCUCAUAGUUCUCUAUUCGGGUAAAUCGCAAGCAGUAAAUAUGUAAUGUUUACUCUAGAUAAAUAGCUACAUAAACAGAACCCGGCUUAUACUUCACCUCACAG